rnacentral:rRNA from 1 species
GACGAACGCUGGCGGCGUGCUUAACACAUGCAAGUCGAACGGAAAGGCCCUGCUUUUGUGGGGUGCUCGAGUGGCGAACGGGUGAGUAACACGUGAGUAACCUGCCCUUGACUUUGGGAUAACUUCAGGAAACUGGGGCUAAUACCGGAUAGGAGCUCCUGCUGCAUGGUGGGGGUUGGAAAGUUUCGGCGGUUGGGGAUGGACUCGCGGCUUAUCAGCUUGUUGGUGGGGUAGUGGCUUACCAAGGCUUUGACGGGUAGCCGGCCUGAGAGGGUGACCGGCCACAGUGGGACUGAGGAACGGCCCAGACGCCGACGGGGGGGAGCAGUGGGGAAUAUGGAACAAUGGGCGGGAGUCUGAUGCAGCAACGCCGGGUGGGGGAGGGCGGGCUUCGGGUUGUAAAACGCUUUCGCCUGUGACGAAGGGGGAGGGAGGGUAAUGGGUAAAGAAGCACCGGCGAACUACGU